rnacentral:rRNA from 1 species
CAAAUGACUCUCGGCAAUGGAUAUCUCGGCUCUUGCAUCGAUGAAGAACGUAGUGAAAUGCGAUACUUGGUGUGAAUUGCAGAAUCUCGUGAACCAUUGAGUCUUUGAACGCAAGUUGUGCCCGAGGCCUUCGGGUCGAGGGCACGCCUGCUUGGGUGUCAUGG